CAGCAGCCGCGGGAAUACCAGCAGCCCAAGUGGUGGUCGCGAUUAUUGGGCCUAAAGCGCUCGUAGCCGGGCCGGUAAGUCCCUUGUGAAAUCGGACGGCCUAACCGUUCGGCGUGCAAGGGAUACUGUCGGUCUUGAGGCCGGGAGACGUCCGAGGUACUCCGCGUGUAGCAGUGAAAUGCGUAGAUAUGCGGAGGAACACCGAUGGCGAAGGCAAUCCCCUGGACCUGUACUGACGCUCAUGCACGAAAGCGUGGGGAGCAAACAGGAUUAGAUACCCCCGUAGUCUCUGUCUCUUAUU
rnacentral:rRNA from 1 species